rnacentral:rRNA from 1 species
AACACAUGCAAGUCGAGCGGGCCCUUCGGGGUCAGCGGCGGACGGGUGAGUAACGCGUGGGAACGUGCCUUCUGGUCUGGAAUAACCCUGGGAAACUAGGGCUAAUACCGGAUACGCCCUUUUGGGGAAAGGUUUACUGCCGGAAGAUCGGCCCGCGUCUGAUUAGCUAGUUGGUGGGGUAACGGCCUACCAAGGCGACGAUCAGUAGCUGGUCUGAGAGGAUGAUCAGCCACACUGGGACUGAGACACGGCCCAGACUCCUACGGGAGGCAGCAGUGGGGAAUAUUGGACAAUGGGCGCAAGCCUGAUCCAGCCAUGCCGCGUGAGUGAUGAAGGCCUUAGGGUUGUAAAGCUCUUUUAUCCGGGACGAUAAUGACGGUACCGGAGGAAUAAGCCCCGGCUAACUUCGUGCCAGCAGCCGCGGUAAUACGAAGGGGGCUAGCGUUGCUCGGAAUCACUGGGCGUAAAGGGCGCGUAGGCGGCGUUUUAAGUCGGGGGUGAAAGCCUGUGGCUCAACCACAGAAUGGCCUUCGAUACUGGGACGCUUGAGUAUGGUAGAGGUUGGUGGAACUGCGAGUGUAGAGGUGAAAUUCGUAGAUAUUCGCAAGAACACCGGUGGCGAAGGCGGCCAACUGGACCAUUACUGACGCUGAGGCGCGAAAGCGUGGGGAGCAAACAG